CCGAGAAAUCAACCAUGUUACCGCAACGUGUUCAAAAACCAGCAUCAUUCAUUUUAUUGACCCAUCAUCUCGAACCUCUUGAACGCGUCGCCACUCACCUCGAGUGCCUCUUUUACCACCGCCCCAGAACCCCACCUAUUCUUACCCGGAGGCAAUUCAGUAGCGUUGUCGUCUAACGACAGCGUAAUGAAAAAAAUAAUUCGACAAGCACCACUUAAAAAUCCGCAAUCAAAGCAUAUGACGCACCGACCCCAUUGAUGUUUAACCCAAUUUAAGGCAAGAAGAGCCCCGCCGUCAUUAUCCGAGGAGUCUCACUUCCUCAGUAUCUGCUAUAUACCGUCACGGCACUCUCACGCGUAUAACAGUGGGUAGGGGGUGUAAAGAAGGAUUCGCUGCCUGCAAAGCAUUGAACACAAAACAGUUUUUCAUCUUGUCUGUUCUAUAUUUGUGUCUGUGCGAUUAUUAAUAUAUUAUUAUGGGUGAAAAAAAUUAGACAUAGUACCGGGAACCGCUAUACCGGCGUGCGUAGAGCCCGGGUACCCCUUUUCUUCUAAUCGCAAACACAUCGAACCAGAGAAUCUGUCGUCAUACGCCGGGCGUUGCUGCGACGUUGCCGCGGUGCGUCAGAAUCGCUCGUUCACGUUCCACGUUUUUAUUAUUGAUUUAAGACGAGGGACAAGAUGCGGUAUCCAUGGCAACGUCGGACCCAGGGCAAAGUCGCGAAAGGAGUGAGAGAAAGACAGGGAGCAAAACGAGUGAUGGUGAGGAAUUGCGCGCGGAGAGGAAUGGUGAUGCUGCUCGCCGUGGUGGAUAGGACGUGCCACGCCCAAGAGGUGGCGCGCUGCUGCGGAUGCACUGCGUUUUUCCCUUACACUAUGCACACUGUUCGCCCGACAACGAGGCUUAUGUAUGUAUGCUCCAUACGCUGCGUGACCAGAUGCCCACACGAUAGCGCACUUGACCUCAUCACCCCCGUUAGCCGCAAGUGUAUUGCGAAAAGUAGAGUGUAGGUACUCUCUCGUUGCGCAAUUAUAGGCAUAUAAAACUGUAUGACACGUCAAUAAAAAUUGACGCAUGUACGUACUCUCAGGGGAUUUAAUGCAAAGUAAUACUGCAGUAUGUCACUCGCCUUAAGGGUUUCGCCACACUUGGAUAUUUUCACCUUCCAGUUCAAAGGGUUUUAACGCCGCGACAAUAAAACCGGUCGCACCAAUGCGCCACACUAACGGGAAGAAUACAUAGUACUUUUAUAAUAAUGGAUAUUAUUAAUCGUGUCAUGUAUCAUCACCUAAAUUAUUAUGAAAAGAAUAAUAGCUAUUACUGAAGCACUUGGUGAAUUAGAGCCCCAUGCACGGCUGCACCUGAACUAGAAACAAGAAACUAGCCACACGAGAUCUAUCCUGAUUCCCUAUGAAACACUUGAAUAUACUAUUAGAAUGUUGAUAAAACAUAUUUAUAUAUGUAAUUCAUCUAUAACAUUAAAAUAAUUUUGAUGAAUAAAAAAAAUUAAAUAUUAUCAAAAACAAUGUUUUUAUUCAAUCGUAUGUAAAAAUGUUAAAUGAAAAUAUAAGAAAACCCUUAUCAUUACGCCAUUUCAAUUUUUAAACGACGAUCAACGACAUAAUUGAUCUAGUAUAACAGUUUCUCCAUAACAAUAGAUAUGCUUAAAAUGCACUUCAAUUACAGAAAUCUCAUGAGUACAUAUUAUUAUACCAUAUCAAUUCAUUUUUCUAUUAACAUAGAAAAGAAUGAUGGUAAAUAAAAGAUUUUUUAUUAUUAUUCAUUAACAUAUAGCAAUGAGUCAUUAGUAACUGAAGUGACAAAACAAUUGUGUUGAAAUGGUCAGAAAAAAAAAA